CCUUAACAACUGAGGUUUUUGCAUUUAUUUAGAAUUCUGACACCCUCUAGGAAGAGCUGGUAGGGCAUAUAAGAAUCACGGAAGAUAGCUGGGUGCCUAAAAUGGCUUGUCUUAGGUCAUGAGAGUUAUGACUCAUCUUUCUUUUUCUGGGAACCUCUACCUCUCUGCUUCCACUACCCGAAUGGGACUUUCCAGCACUGACAAGCAAUGAAGGCUGAGAGAACAAAGGAACUUAUGGCCUGUGACCUCUCAUGACAAACACCCCUAAGAGCUGGCAUGUCCAGAGACUCGGAACCCUAUUCAACUGGCCUGCAAAGUGCACCCUGGGCACUCCCCAGUCCUGCAGAGUGGAGCAGUUAGAACUCAAGCAAAAGGCUAGUCUCUGAGGCUGUCAGAAUGGCUGAAAAGUGAAGACUCUAGAAAGCAGAUGACCACAUAGGAGGAGUAGUGAAUUCUGCAUAUAGAUUCAGCCCAAAUCUUUGACUUCUGUUCUGCACAUUCAUGGGAGAAACGCCAAGCAGCACAGCUAGAAGAAGCAGGCUAACAGGAGAUCUAGGCAGAGAUUACCAUUGCUGGUGACCAUAGAGGAGACAGAGUUCAGAAUUUGAGUCUAAUAGAACAACGCUCACCAGUUUCCAGAAUACCACGGAGCAUCCAUGUUUGGCAAAAGUAUCAUUCAAAAUUUGAAGGCAUAACAAAGACAUUUUCAGACAAAGGCUGAGAAUACAUCACCAGCAGACUUGAAGGAAUAUGAUAUAGUGUGGAAAUUUGGAUCUUCACAAAAGGAUAAAGAGUGCCAGAAAAGAAGAGGAAGACACCACCAGAUGACCCAGACUGAUCUUAUCUCGAGAUAAUUUCCUUCGAAGAGAAAUCAGGAAGGAAUUUGUUAUGCAGAAUUUAGGAUUUGGCCAGAUCUGGAAGCAUCUAAAGCCUGCUGAGGAAUGACAGUUUUCAAAUGCCCAGUAUACAAAAUAACUUUAAAAUUUUCUGUUAGCAUGUUCCUUUUGGGGGAAGAGUUUCUUUUGAUUUGUCCUUUGACUCUUCACGACCUGUGACCUGUUUCCAACCCAGGACCCGGUUCUUCUGAGGAUGGAAGGGAGUUGGAACUCCUCUCAAAUAUUCUUUCCCUUUCUCACAUCCCAACCCCUUCUGUGAUCCAAGCCCUCAAAACAUAAAGGAUGGUCAUCUUUCAAUUUUAAAAUUAUAACACUAAACGUUUCUUUUUU